rnacentral:tRNA from 1 species
UGGAGAGGCAAGCCGACAGCCGGCGACGGCACCCGGAUGGAACCCGGACGAGAUCGCUAGAUCCUUGGGAGUUCGACCCUCCCCCUCUCCGU